rnacentral:rRNA from 1 species
CUACGGGAGGCACCAGUGGGGAAUAUUGCACAAUGGGGGAAACCCUGAUGCAGCAACGCCGCGUGGAGGAUGACACAUUUCGGUGUGUAAACUCCUUUUAUAUGUCAAGAAAAUGACGGUAGCAUAUGAAUAAGCACCGGCUAACUCCGUGCCAGCAGCCGCGGUAAUACGGAGGGUGCAAGCGUUACUCGGAAUCACUGGGCGUAAAGGACGCGUAGGCGGGGUGGAAAGUCAGGUGUGAAAUCCUACAGCUUAACUGUAGAACUGCACUUGAAACUUCUAAUCUAGAGUAUGGGAGGGGGAGAUGGAAUUAGUGGUGUAGGGGUAAAAUCCGUAGAUAUCACUAGGAAUACCUAAAGCGAAGGCGAUCUCCUGGAACAUUACUGACGCUAAGGCGUGAAAGCGUGGGGAGCAAACAGGAUUAGAUACCCCCGUAGUC